rnacentral:rRNA from 1 species
AAUAUUGCGCAAUGGAGGGAACUCUGACGCAGCGACGCCGCGUGAGCGAUGAAGGUUUUCGGAUCGUAAAGCUCUGUCCUUGGGGAAGAAGGCGGCCAUUUAUGGCCACUUGACGGUACCCAAGGAGGAAGCCCCGGCUAACGCCGUGCCAGCAGCCGCGGUAAUACGUAGGGGGCAAGCGUUGUCCGGAAUUAUUGGGCGUAAAGGGUGCGUAGGCGGCCUUUUAAGUCAGAUGUGAAAUAUUAGGGCUCAACCCUAAUCGUGCAUUUGAAACUGGAGGGCUUGAGUAUCGGAGAGGGUAGUGGAAUUCCCAGUGUAGCGGUGGAAUGCGUAGAUAUUGGGAGGAACACCAGUGGCGAAGGCGACUACCUGGACGAAAACUGACGCUGAGGCACGAAAGCUAGGGGAGCAAACA